AUUGAACGCUGGCGGCAUGCCUUACACAUGCAAGUCGAACGGCAGCACGGGAGCAAUCCUGGUGGCGAGUAGCGAACGGGUGAGUAAUAUAUCGGAACGUGCCCAAUCGUGGGGGAUAACGCAGCGAAAGCUGUGCUAAUACCGCAUACGAUCUACGGAUGAAAGCGGGGGAUCGCAAGACCUCGCGCGAGUGGAGCGGCCGAUAUCAGAUUAGCUAGUUGGUGAGGUAAAGGCUCACCAAGGCGACGAUCUGUAGCUGGUCUGAGAGGACGACCAGCCACACUGGAACUGAGACACGGCCCAGACUCCUACGGGAGGCAGCAGUGGGGAAUCUUAGACAAUGGGGGAAACCCUGAUCUAGCCAUGCCGCGUGAUCGAUGAAGGCCUUAGGGUUGUAAAGAUCUUUCAGGUGGAAGNUAAUGACUGUACCACCAGAAGAAAG
rnacentral:rRNA from 1 species